rnacentral:rRNA from 2 species
GNNNGNUCUUAUACAUGCAAGUCGAACGAGCUCUCCCAAAUUGAUUUUAUGCUUGCAUAAAUGAUUUUUGGAUUCGGAGCGAGUGGCGAACUGGUGAGUAACACGUGGGUAACCUGCCCCAAAGCGGGGGAUAACAUUUGGAAACAAGUGCUAAUACCGCAUAAUUAGUUGGAACCGCAUGGUUCCAACUUGAAAGAUGGCUCUGCUAUCACUUUGGGAUGGACCCGCGCCGUAUUAGUUAGUUGGUGAGAUAAAAGCCCACCAAGACGAUGAUACGUAGCCGACCUGAGAGGGUAAUCGGCCACAUUGGGACUGAGACACGGCCCAGACUCCUACGGGAGGCAGCAGUAGGGAAUCUUCCACAAUGGACGAAAGUCUGAUGGAGCAACGCCGCGUGAGUGAUGAAGGUUUUCGGAUCGUAAAACUCUGUUGUUAAAGAAGAACAAGUGUUAGAGUAACUGUUAACACUUUGACGGUAUUUAACCAGAAAGCCACGGCUAACUACGUGCCAGCAGCCGCGGUAAUACGUAGGUGGCAAGCGUUGUCCGGAUUUAUUGGGCGUAAAGCGAGCGCAGGCGGUUUUGUAAGUCUGCUGUGAAAGCCCUCAGCUUAACUGAGGAAGUGCAGUGGAAACUACAAAACUUGAGUACAGAAGAGGAAAGUGGAACUCCAUGUGUAGCGGUGAAAUGCGUAGAUAUAUGGAAGAACACCAGUGGCGAAGGCGGCUUUCUGGUCUGUUACUGACGCUGAGGCUCGAAAGCAUGGGUAGCGAACAGGAUUAGAUACCCUGGUAGUCCAUGCCGUAAACGAUGAAUACUAGGUGUUGGAGGGUUUCCGCCCUUCAGUGCCGCAGCUAACGCAUUAAGUAUUCCGCCUGGGGAGUACGACCGCAAGGUUGAAACUCAAAGGAAUUGACGGGGGCCCGCACAAGUGGUGGAGCAUGUGGUUUAAUUCGAUGCUACGCGAAGAACCUUACCAGCUCUUGGACAUCUUCUGGCCAACCCAAGAGAUUUGGGGCGUUCCCUUCGGGGACAGAAAUGAAAAGGGUGGGUGCAUGGUUUGUUCCCCAGNNUCCGGUGUUCGUUGNNNNNUGUUUGGGGUUAAGNUCCCNNCANCGGAGNCGGCAANCCCNUUUUANAUUU